rnacentral:rRNA from 1 species
UGGGGAAUAUUGCACAAUGGGGGAAACCCUGAUGCAGCGACGCCGCGUGGGUGAAGAAGUUUUUUCGGAAUGUAAAGCCCUAUCAGCAGGGAAGAUAAUGACGGUACCUGACUAAGAAGCCCCGGCUAACUACGUGCCAGCAGCCGCGGUAAUACGUAGGGGGCAAGCGUUAUCCGGAUUUACUGGGUGUAAAGGGAGCGUAGACGGAAUAGCAAGUCUGAAGUGAAAUCAUAGGGCUCAACCCUGUAAUUGCUUUGGAAACUGUUGAUCUUGAGUGCCGGAGGGGCAGGCGGAAUUCCUGGUGUAGCGGUGAAAUGCGUAGAUAUCAGGAAGAACACCGGUGGCGAAGGCGGCCUGCUGGACGGCAACUGACGUUGAGGCUCGAAAGUGCGGGUAUCGAACAGGAUUAGAUACCCUGGUAGU